rnacentral:rRNA from 1 species
GAUGAACGCUGGCGGCGUGCCUAAUACAUGCAAGUCGAGCGAAUUGACAGAGGUGCUUGCACCUCUCGAUUUUAGCGGCGGACGGGUGAGUAACACGUGGGUAACCUACCAAUAAGACUGGGAUAACUUCGGGAAACCGGAGCUAAUACCGGCUAAUAUUUAGCUUCGCAUGAAGCAAUAGUGAACGACGGUUCGGCUGUCACUUAUAGAUGGAUCUCCGGUGUAUUAGCUAGUUGGUGAGGUAACGGCUCACCAAGGCAACGCUACAUAGCCGCCCUGAGAGGGUGAUCGGCCACACUGGGACUGAGACACGGCCCAGACUCCUACGGGAGGCAGCAGUAGGGAAUCUUCCGCAAUGGACGAAAGUCUGACGGAGCAACGCCGCGUGAGUGAAGAAGGUUUUCGGAUCGUAAAACUCUGUUGUAAGGGAAGAACAAGUACGUUAGUAACUGAACGUACCUUGACGGUACCUUACCAGAAAGCCACGGCUAACUACGUGCCAGCAGCCGCCGUAAGAC